GUGGCAGAGUUUGGCUUAAUGCACCAGUCUUGAAAACUGGCACACCGAAAGGUGUCGUAGGUUCAAAUCCUUAGCAACUCGCCA
rnacentral:tRNA from 1 species